AAUAGAUGAUGCUGUUGACUUUUUUUCACACGUUUAACCAUUCGUUUUAUUCAAAAAAUUUACGUAAUUAUAAUUUAUUUUGUUGUGAGUCGUUUUAUCACUCAUAGUACUUUAAGUGUGAUUUAUAUCUUAUACAUUUGAAUAAAAUUUUUAAUAAGACGAAUGGUUAAAUAUGUGAGAAAAAAGUCAACGGCGUCAUCUAUU
rnacentral:pre_miRNA from 1 species